UUUUCCAUUUGUUGCUCAGGAAAGUUCCUUUUUCUUUUUUCUUAUAUAGCCAACCUUGGCAGUCAGCAUGUCCCAGGUCUUUACAGGAUAUCCUCCUCCGACUCAUCGUGAAAAACCCUGCAACAAUUAUAUGAAGAGCCAGCUUUCUAAUGUAAAAUAAGAAGAGCUGAUAGAGGAUGAUGGAAGACAAAAAGAAAAAAUUCAUCUCUAAUUCUUCCAAUUUAUCUAUUCUAGGGUGGGGGAGCAGAAGGAGAGGAAGAAAGGAACUCAAGCAGACUCCACACUCAGUGUGGAGCCCAACCUGGGGCUCAAUCUCAUGACCCUGAGAUCACAACUAAGCUGAAACCAAGUCCCAUGCUUAACGGACACCAUGCAGGCAUUUGGAUUUUUCUGUUAAAUUUAAGCUCUAUUAUCAUCUGGAUUCUGAUCUAUUUCCUGCAUGCUUUAAAAAAUCUUAUUCUUUCUUUCCUUCCAUUUAUUUUCUCUUUUUUAUUGUUAACUUUUCCACUCAUUUUGCUACAUUUCUGCUCUCUCUCCACUUUGAGAAUGAACUGACAGAUGGU